GUGUCUGUAGCCUAGUGGUAAAAGGCAGCACUCUAGAUGCUGAGGGUGUGGGUUUGAAUCUCACCAGACACA
rnacentral:tRNA from 1 species